GGCCGAAAGGUCUGCGCAGCGAUGGCCGCUUGCGAGGUGCUGCAUGGUUGUCGUCAGCUCGUGCCGUGAGGUGUCGGGUUAAGUCCCAUAACGAGCGCAACCCCUACCUGCUAGUUGCCAGCGGGUCAUGCCGGGGACUCUAGCGGAACUGCCAGCGUAAGCUGCGAGGAAGGUGGGGAGUGACGUCAAAUCAGCACGGCCCUUACGUCCAGGGCUACACACGUGUUACAAUGGCCAGUACAGAGGGCGGCCACCCCGCGAGGGGGCGCUAAUCCUAAAAGCUGGUCCCAGUUCGGAUCGGAGUCUGCAACCCGACUCCGUGAAGCUGGAUUCGCUAGUAAUCGCGCAUCAGCCACGGCGCGGUGAAUACGUUCCCGGGCCUU
rnacentral:rRNA from 1 species